rnacentral:rRNA from 1 species
UACGGGGGAGCAAGCGUUGUUCGGAUUUACUGGGCGUAAAGGGCGCGUAGGCGGCCACCGCAAGUCAGUUGUGAAAUCUCUGGGCUUAACCCAGAACGGUCAGCUGAUACUGUGCGGCUAGAGUGCGGAAGGGGCAACUGGAAUUCUUGGUGUAGCGGUGAAAUGCGUAGAUAUCAAGAGGAACACCUGCGGCGAAGGCGGGUUGCUGGGCCGACACUGACGCUGAGGC